AACUUGGCGGCGGCGGUCUGGCAGCCGCUGUUCGUCGGAGGGAGAUGAGGGAGGCUGGGUUUGGCGGCGGUGGUGCCGCUGCUGCCCAGCCAAGGACGGGCAGAGAGGGAGUUUCAGAGGGUGAGCGGCGACGGCGGGGCGAAGCUACUGCCGUCGGCUGCCGAGUCAAGUCGGGGAAGAGAGCGGCUUCCGCUACUCGUUGGCGGAAGUGAGAGAGAGAGGAGGCCGCUGCACGGCGGCUCUGCCCGCUGAUGUCGGGCCGAGGACGGAGAGAGAGAGGGUGAGAAGGGGCGGCGACCAGCUACUGGUCGUGGCAGCCGGAGUUCAGCGGAGGAAGGCAGAGCUCGGCGGCCAUGGCUGCUACUGCUCGGCCACGGACGUUUGAGGGAGAGAAGAAGAAACGGGCGGCUGUUACCAGCCGAAUAGAGAGAGAUCAGAUGGAGAUGGGGCGAUUUCCGGCAGCUGUUGUCGCCGGAGAAGCCGCGCCGCUUGUUGUGUGAGUAUGUGUCUGCGCGUGAACCGAGAGAGAGAGAGGGAUGGAGCCUUGGGAGAGAGAGUGUGAGAUAUCAGAUAUGUGUUUGUGUGUGUGUGCGUCUGAAGGGGGUGAAGGGGGAGAAAAGGGUGAGAGUUGGGUUAGGUUUGGGCUUGGGGUUUUGGGCUUCUAUUUUGGGCCGAAUUAAAUCAUUUGGGCCGAGUCUUUUCCUUUAGGACUAGAGUGUUGGGCUUGGGUAUUGGGCUCAGUUUAUUUAAAUAAGUUAUGGGCCGAUUUUCUUUUAAUUGAAUCUGGGCUAAUUUUAUUAUUCAACAUGGACUCAGUUUUAAUUAAUAGUUGGGCCUUUAUUUAUUUAAAAAUUUUGGGCUGUCUUCUAUUAAUUAAAUGGACUACACUUAUAUUAAUUAAUUGGACUAUUAAUUAGUUUAAUUAAUUUAUUCAAAGAUUUGUUUUCAUAAUAAUAUUAAAUUAUUAUUAUGUGCAUAUUUUAAGUAAAUUACUUAUUAUAUGCUAAGCAUGACAUGAAAUUGCAUUUUUACUUGCAAUAAAAGUAUUUAAUUGGUUUUAAUUAUAAUUCCAAUUUUUAAGAAAAUCGAGUAAGGAUAUUGUUGGUGUCCUUAACUCAAGAAUUUAGUUUUCAAUUAUUUAUUUACUAAAUUUUGGAAACCCGGCGUGAUGAAUCAAGUAUGUUUAGUGCAUCCACUAAGACUUUAAGUUAGUUUCACGAGACCUAUUAAGAAUAGAAUUUCUUGUAGGCUUCGAGCAUCAGAAGGAUUAGUACUGCUAUUCCGAUUCAGAGAUAAGGUUAAACGACAGGCUUUGCCUAUACAGGUGGGCAUUACUUUUACUAUACGUAUAUAGAGAUCCCCUGCGUGUCGUAGGCCUCUUAUACGAAUAUAUGCAUGAGAUGAUUUUAACUGUUAAUUUCAGUUUAUUAUUAUGCCCAAAUGAUAAAUGACUCUUAUGAAAUGAAAAUGAAAAUGUUCAUGAAUGAAAUGAAAUGUUUAUGAAAUGAUUGACUGCCAAAAUGUUUAUGUUUUUAUAUGUAUCCUAUCUGUGUUGGUUCGCCAACUUUAAAGGAAAUCCAAUUGGGAUCCUAUGCUAGACAAAGGUCGCUAGCUAGGGUUAACGUGUACACUUAUGGAGACCGCGAGUCGCUUGCGACCGGUCUUGGCGUCCGUGGUAAGGAGGCCUCCUUCCCGGCGCGUGACAGAAAGGAACAGAUAUGGAUCAUAUGAAGGAAAAUGAUCGGCCGAUCGACUUUAUGAAAAUGAAAGAAAUAUUUUAGUUGAGCAACUGAUGGAAUGGAAUGAUGUUGAGCGGGUGUUCCUUUGACAUUUCAAGAAAUGUAACCUUGAGUAUACAUCUUCAUAUGUAUAUCUCACACGUUUUCCGCUGCAAAACACUUGAUUAGGAUAGCUCUAUGAUAUGAAGUUGUGAUACGUGUUAUUGGGUAACCACCUUAAUCAGUUCUCAUUUAUGUGUAUGUUUUAUAAGUAUCCAAAUAAUCAUAUAUGAUCCUA